UACGUAGGGUGCAAGCGUUGUCCGGAAUUAUUGGGCGUAAAGAGCUCGUAGGCGGUCUGUCGCGUCGAAUGUGAAAACCCGGGGCUCAACCCCGGGCCUGCAUUCGAUACGGGCAGACUAGAGUUCGGUAGGGGAGUCUGGAAUUCCUGGUGUAGCGGUGAAAUGCGCAGAUAUCAGGAGGAACACCGGUGGCGAAGGCGAGACCCUGGGCUGAUACUGACGCUGAGGAGCGAAAGCGUGGGGAGCAAACAGG
rnacentral:rRNA from 1 species